rnacentral:rRNA from 1 species
UACGUAGGUGGCAAGCGUUGUCCGGAAUUACUGGGUGUAAAGGGAGCGUAGGCGGGGAGACAAGUUGAAUGUCUAAACUAUCGGCUUAACUGAUAGUCGCGUUCAAAACUAUCACUCUUGAGUGCAGUAGAGGCAGGCGGAAUUCCUAGUGUAGCGGUGAAAUGCGUAGAUAUUAGGAGGAACACCAGUGGCGAAGGCGGCCUGCUGGGCUGUAACUGACGCUGAGGCUCGAAAGCGUGGGUAGCAAA